rnacentral:rRNA from 1 species
CCUACGGGAGGCAGCAGUGAGGAAUCUUGGUCAAUGGGCGUAAGCCUGAACCAGCCAAGUCGCGUGAGGGAUGAAGGUUCUAUGGAUCGUACACCUCUUUUAUAAGGGAAUAAAGUGCGGGACGUGUCCCGUUUUGUAUGUACCUUUUGACUAAGGAUCGGCUAACUCCGUGCCAGCAGCCGCGGUAAUACGGAGGAUCCGAGCGUUAUCCGGAUUUAUUGGGUUUAAAGGGUGAGUAGGCGGCCUCUUAAGUGAGCGGUGAAAGUCUGUGGCUCAACCAUAGGAUUGCCGUUGAAAAUGGGAGGCUUGAGUAUGUUUGAGGCAGGCGGAAUGCGUGGUGUAGCGGUGAAAUGCU